GACGAACGCUGGCGGCGUGCUUAACACAUGCAAGUCGAACGGUAAGGCUCCAGCUUGCUGGGGUACACGAGUGGCGAACGGGUGAGUAACACGUGGGUGACCUGCCCUGCACUUCGGGAUAAGCCUGGGAAACUGGGUCUAAUACCGGAUAGGACCAUGGUGUGGAUACUGUGGUGGAAAGUUUUUUCGGUGUGGGAUGAGCCCGCGGCCUAUCAGCUUGUUGGUGGGGUAAUGGCCUACCAAGGCGGCGACGGGUAGCCGGCCUGAGAGGGUGGACGGCCACAUUGGGACUGAGACACGGCCCAGACUCCUACGGGAGGCAGCAGUGGGGAAUAUUGCACAAUGGGCGGAAGCCUGAUGCAGCGACGCCGCGUGGGGGAUGACGGCCUUCGGGUUGUAAACUCCUUUCACCAUCGACGAAGGGUUUCUGACGGUAGAUGGAGAAGAAGCACCGGCUAACUACGUG
rnacentral:rRNA from 1 species